rnacentral:misc_RNA from 1 species
UUUCCGUAGGUGAACCUGCGGAAGGAUCAUUACCGAGAAUACAGAACCCGCAGCGCCCGGUGCUUUUUGAAGUGCUGGGCGUGGGUUACUCUCUCUUUACACACUUGUGCACAACCCCUUUUUUUAAAACAUAUAUCAAACCAGCGACCGCAUGUUUUUAUUAAAAUACAAAAGAGAAAAAACUUUCAACAACGGAUCUCUUGGCUCUCGCAUCGAUGAAGAACGCAGC